GAUUUCCCCCAUCAAUGAAGGACUGGGAAGAGCUCAUUUCUCGAAGCACUUGCAGGGUGAGCACAAGGACUCGAGUUCAACUCCCAGAACCUGUGUUAAAAAGGCUAUUUAUUGACAGCAACAGAAAUGAAACACAUGCCCGACAUCAUUUAGAAGACAGAGGCGUUCAGUUCAGAGCACUGAAGCCACAGGGAUUAGUUCUCCUUCAGUCAGUAGGGUUCUUUCCCUGUAGGGCCUGCAGGUCUCAAGACAACAGGAGCUUUCCUUAUGGAAUAAUAUGCCUGCCUCUGCCUCCUGGGAGCCGGGAUUUGCAGCGGGCGUCGCUGUGACUGGCUAUUUCUGCUUUUAAAUGAUCCCCAACCUUGACUUUCAUCACUAUAAAUUUAGAUCUUUA